UACGGAGGGUGCAAGCGUUAUCCGGAAUCACUGGGUUUAAAGGGUGCGUAGGCGGUUAUAUAAGUCCAUGGUGAAAGACGGCAGCUUAACUGUCGCAGUGCCAUUGAUACUGUAUGACUUGAAUAAGGAUGAGGUUGGCGGAAUGUGACAUGUAGCGGUGAAAUGCAUAGAUAUGUCAUAGAACACCAAUUGCGAAGGCAGCUGACUAGACCUUUAUUGACGCUGAGGCACGAAAGCGUGGGGAUCGAACAGGAUUAGAUACCCUGGUAGUCCACGCCCUAAACGAUGCUAACUCGUUGUUUGGCCGUGAGGUUGAGCGACUAAGGGAAACCGAUAAGUUAGCCACCUGGGGAGUACGCUCGCAAGAGUGAA
rnacentral:rRNA from 1 species